rnacentral:tRNA from 1 species
GCAGCUGAGAAGAGUCCAAGCUCGCUGGGCUCAUAACCCAGAGGUCGCAGGUUCAAAUCCUGUCCCCGCUACU